rnacentral:rRNA from 1 species
GUUGACGGCUGACGUCAGGAGUAACACGUACACGUCCGCCGAGGGGAGGACGGGAGAGUAAUGUCGGGGAAACUGGCUUAUGGAAAAGAAUAACUACUGGAAACGGUAGCUCAUACCGCAUCCCCUCAGAUGUGCCCAGAUGGUAUUAGCUAUGUGGUGGGGUAACGGCUCACCGAGUCUACGAUCCCUAGCUGGUCUGAGAGGAUGACCAGCCACACUGGAACUGAGACACGGUCCAGAAUCCUACGGGAGGCAGCAGGGGGGAAUAUUGCACAAUGGGAGCAAGCCUGAUGCAGCCAUGCCGCGUGUAUGAAGAAGGCCUUCGGGUUGUAAAGUACUUUCAGCGGGGAGGCGUUACCCGCAGAAGAAGCACCGGCCAACUCCGUGCCAGCAGCCGCGGUAAUUC